rnacentral:lncRNA from 1 species
AAAAAAAAAAUCGAUAGACAGAUGUUUUUUUUCAAAAUAUCAGAAAUAUUUUUAAAAAUAAAUCUAUGGAAAUAAAAAAAAUACUUUCGUAUAAAAAAAAUUGGACCCAUUUUCUUAUUUUUAAUAUAAAAAUACAUGUAUUUUUUUUUAAAUCGGUCCCUUAUCUAUUAAGAAAUAGGGGGACAACAGAUUGGGCCCGGAGCGGUCGCACCGUUCUGUUGAGAUGAGAUCAAUAUAUGGGAAGAGAAAGACAUGAGGAGUUGAGUAUGAUGAAGAGACCGUACAUGGCGUAGUAAUACUA